rnacentral:misc_RNA from 1 species
UAAUUGUGCCCAUGCCAGAUUCACAAAAAUACGUUUUCAGUGGAAACGCUGUUUUGAAAAAGACACUGAGCAUGCAUGUAUAUUUUUCUGAUGCAGGACCGGCGUGAUGCAGAACCGGAGCCCGGAGCGAUGCAGGACCGGAGCGAUGCAGGACCGGCGGGCGUGAUGCAGAACCGGAGCCCGGAGCGAUGCAGGAUCGGAGUGAUGAAGCAAAAGGAUGUGACAGAAACACUCAAUAUGGUCUCACCGAGGCUGCAAUUUACCACUCCGAUGGCCUCAUCGGUUGUAAGCAGUAUAAAGUAUACAACAGAUCGAGUUAGGAAAGGACAAACAACGUGUACCGGUUCCGACAGAAUGGUGCAAAUGUAGCAUGUAUUUCCUAGAACGGCGGAGGAGCUAUCGGCAGCAACAGUUGUUGUAAACAUACAUCCGCUCUAUACAAUGCCUGUCAACUUGCUUCCAGUAAAACAGACAGCCCUGUUGCCAAGAGACACUUUGUUCAAAGUCCUAAAGAUUUGGCUUAACAGAACAGUUAACUUUACCAAGGCUAUUAAGGCAUCCACAACACAAGAGAAUAUAACGACUGCUGGUGAUGACAUGAAAGAUUUUGUCUGAGAUCUGUUACAGAAGUGGCCACCAUGAUUGCAAGUCUAUAACCAAUACUGACGAAAGAACAGAAUUGAAACAAGGUCUUGGAUUCUUUGACUACCAGACCAACAUGGUGAAACUGGCAAAGAACAGUGCAAAAACUGCACAGGAUAUGGUAGGCAAAUCGGGAACAGAUGUUGAGAACCUUGGACUACUGGCCAAUCAGCUGACCAUGGACUUUGAUCUGCUAGCCAGUGACUCAAGAGUGUAGCGGCGUCUGCACAAAAUGCAGAGGUUUCUUUUAUCAUUGCAAAUCUACAGUCAGGCUAACAAGGUACUCAGGCUUGUAUAAGUUCUGCCCACACCACCAGUGGUAUCAUAGCCAAUCUUGACACCACAAUAAUGUUUGCCAUUGCACGAACUUUGAAUGCCAAUAGUGAUGAAAACUUUGCUGAUCACAGAUGAAGUCAACUUGUACUUUUACGGAGAAAGCAUUUUGAAAACUGCUAAAGCUUCGGUUGAAGAUACCAAGAUACCUGUUGGCGGAGCAGCGACUAACCAGGAACAGUUGGCCAAUGCUGCACAGAUGGCUUGUCAAGACAAUCACACGUUUGGCAGAUGUCGUGUAGUUUAGUGCUGGAUCCCAGGGUUCUGAGCAACAAGAAGCUCAGGAAUUGGUCAUGUAGAGGAUGUUGGAUUUGAGAAAUUGCGAGAUACAGUUCCUUGUGGCAACUUCAAACAUACAGAACUAUCAGGUUCUGGACAGAUGCUGCAUAUCACAAAAAAAUCUACAACAAAUAUACAAUCAGGAACUUCACUGGAUAUCUAUGUCACACCUAAAAAGGAAAUAUUUCCUGAGGCACAAAGGGUCAUUGAUAUUUGCCUGAAAGAUUCAGCCACUAUGACAGUAACAAGCUUAGGAGCAUACAGUCUGAGACAUAGAAAAAUUGUUUACUUGGUUGGAAAACUUCCCACAUGUUGUAUUGGUGUCCCAUAAUGGAAGGCACUUUUAUUUUCCAGUUGUUGUCUGAGCAAAAUGUAUACAUAAACGACUAGCAAUUUUUUCAGUUGUGUUUCUUCUUUUGUGGAUUCUUUUACCAGUAUUCAAGAAACUGUUCCCUAAACAGUUGCACAAACAGGAAGCUGUUGCUAAGUGAAGGCACUGCUUGCUAUCUGGUACAAUGCCCACAUUGCCAUAGCUGAUGUUUAGACACUUGGAAGACUAUUAGUCAGUACAAAACUAUCAAGUCAGUGACUCCAUUUUUAAAGCUGAAAAGUUCACAUGCCCACCAUGUUUAAUUUAGCGAAAAAAAAUCUUUAGUCUUUGAAAAUGCUUUUAAAUGGAGACAUAUGUAAAAUGACCAAAGCUGAAAACACAGUUGGUUUGGAUUUAACUUGUGCCUAACUCAGAACAUGUUUUAAAUGACCUGAUGAAGAGACAUACUGUGAAAUCAUUAACAUUCGUGGGGGACUAAUUUUCGUGGUUGAGUUAAUCCACGAAAUUUAAUCCCAAUGAACAAGUAAAAUUCCCAUUCAUUUUAUGUUCAAAAGGUGAAAUCCAUGAAUUCAUAUCCCCAUGAAAUUGCAGUUUCUACCAAAACCAUGAAAUUUCAUGCUCAUGAAAUUUAAUGAUUUCACAGUAUUUACUAUGAAAAACUGAAGGCCUGCCAAAAAAAACAGACAUUGAAGAUGUAUAUAAGAAGAUGUAUGUCCAAGUUUUGCAGCUUUUUCAAGCACAUACAGUGAGUGAAGUAAGACACAGAAGACAUUUUUAUUUCACAAAUUUAAUAUUCAGAAGAAUAACAUUAUGAUGGAUGUUUUUUUUGUAUUUUUAUUUAUUUUUUGUUCGCAAAGAUUUGUAAUGUUUGUAUGAUGCCUAGUUUGAUAUGUAACAUAUUUUUGUAACCUUUAAUUUGGAUUUGUUUUAACCAAUAUUUUUACUAUGAUACAUUAUAUAUUUCUUGUAGUAUGAUUGUGUUAAAUUGCGAGAAGAAAAACGUUACUUCUCUCAAAGAUUAAACUGUACAAUUUUCAACCACAGAAAAACUCCACAGAGUUCAUAUUGAUCAUACCCUAAACUGGAAAAUACAUGUUCAAAUGACACUGAAUAAAAGCAACUCCUUAUUACAUUUGCUAAUCGCCCGAAGUCGUUAAUUACGAACAGUCGAGUGUUCCUUAUCGUGGUCAUUUAAACACGGGCAUCUUGACCACAUUAAAUAUACUAGAAUUUCAGUGGAUAAGUGUUUAUACUUGUUACCUGAUAUUAAGUGUCUCAAAUAAUAAAUUGCAUAAUCUACGAUCAACAGCUCACAAAGAUCUUGUUUUGCGUAUAACACCUCGUACAAAUUAUCUUAAAGAUUCAUUCUCGUACUUCAGUGUUAAUAUUUGGAUUAAAUUACCUGCUGAAAUUAAGGAAUCAAAUACAUUACAAACAUUCAAAAAUAAUAUCAAACGACAUUUGUUCAUGUUGCAGUCCAGUGCUUAAAAUAAUUAUAUUAUUACAGUUUUUACAUAUCAUGAUGUCAGUUAUUUUAUUAUUAUUUUGUUUUGCUGUUGUUUGUUUAUUCUCUUUAAUAGUCUUAUAAUUAUGUGAGUUUCUGUCGGAUGGAUGAAUGGGAAGCUUCUAAUCGUAUUUAAUACAUUGAUUAUUGAUACAUUUUUUUUUUAAAAUAUGAUUUUGUGAAAUUUAUCAUAAAUGUUUGUAUACAUGUGCAUUGUUGUUAACUG